CAGCACUGUUCGUGACCUGUGGCCCUGCUGUGGCUGACGGGUUCCAUUCCAGUGCGACAGCAGCCCCACGGCCACCACACCGACUGACUGAGGGUGGCUGUCAGUUUCAGGUCUUGGAGACAAGC